rnacentral:rRNA from 1 species
GAGAUUUCGCAAUGCCCGAAAGGGUGACGAAGCGACGCCGCGUGCGGGAAGAAGGCCUUCGGGUUGUAAACCGCUGUCGGGAGUUAAGAAAUGUAAGGAUGUUAAUAGCAUCUUUGCUUGACUAAGGCUCCGGAGGAAGCCACGGCUAACUCUGUGCCAGCAGCCGCGGUAAUACAGAGGCGGCAAGCGUUGUUCGGAAUUAUUGGGCGUAAAGAGCACGUAGGCGGCUAUGUAAGUCGGUUGUGAAAGCCUUCCGCUCAACGGGAGAACAGCAUCCGAUACUGCAUGGCUUGAGUGCGGGAGGGGAGAGUGGAACUUCUGGUGGAGCGGUGAAAUGCGUAGAUAUCAGAAGGAACGCCGGCGGCGAAAGCGGCUCUCUGGCCCAUAACUGACGCUGAGUGUGCGAAAGCUAGGGGAGCAAACGGGAUUAGAUACCCCGGUAGUCCUAGCCGUAAACGAUGGGCACUAAGUAGAGGGGUUUU